rnacentral:rRNA from 1 species
GACAGAGGGUGCAAACGUUGCUCGGAAUCACUGGGCGUAAAGGGCGCGUAGGCGGGAAUGUAAGUCGGGCGUGAAAUCCCCAGGCUCAACCUGAGAACUGCACUCGAAACUGCGUUUCUUGAGUAUCGGAGAGGAAAGCGGAAUUCCUGGUGUAGAGGUGAAAUUCGUAGAUAUCAGGAGGAACACCAGUGGCGAAGGCGCUUUCUGGACGGUAACUGAACGCUG